UAGGGAAUCUUCCACAAUGGACGCAAGUCUGAUGGAGCAACGCCGCGUGAGUGAAGAAGGUCUUCGGAUCGUAAAGCUCUGUUGUUGGUGAAGAAGGAUAGAGGCAGUAACUGGUCUUUAUUUGACGGUAAUCAACCAGAAAGUUACGGCUAACUACGUGCCAGCAGCCGCGGUAAUACGUAGGUGGCAAGCGUUGUCCGGAUUUAUUGGGCGUAAAGCGAGCGCAGGCGGAAUGAUAAGUCUGAUGUGAAAGCCCACGGCUCAACCGUGGAACUGCAUCGGAAACUGUCAUUCUUGAGUGCAGAAGAGGAGAG
rnacentral:rRNA from 1 species